CCCUUAGAUGUCCUGGGCCGCACGCGCGUUACACUGAUGCAUUCAACGAGCUUAUAACCUUGGCCGAGAGGCCCGGGCAAUCUUGUUAACGUGCAUCGUGAUAGGGAUAGAUUAUUGAAAUUAUUAAUCUUGAACGAGGAAUUCCUAGUAAACGCAGAUCAUCAAUCUGCAUUGAUUACGUCCCUGCCCUUUGUACACACCGCCCGUCGCUCCUACCGAUUGAGUGGUCCGGUGAGGCUUUGGGAUCUGAGCGGAAAGAGCGUUUCGCUGUUUCUGCUCGGAAAACUCAGUCGAACCUUAUCAUUUAGAGGAAGGAGAAGUCGUAACA
rnacentral:rRNA from 1 species